AUUGAACGCUGGCGGCAUGCUUUACACAUGCAAGUCGAACGGUAACAGGCCUUCGGGUGCUGACGAGUGGCGAACGGGUGAGUAAUGCAUCGGAACGUGCCCAGAGGUGGGGGAUAACGCAGCGAAAGCUGUGCUAAUACCGCAUGUGAUCUGAGGAUGAAAGCGGGGGACCAAGCAGCAAUGUUUGGCCUCGCGCCUCUGGAGCGGCCGAUGUCAGAUUAGGUAGUUGGUGGGGUAAAGGCCUACCAAGCCGACGAUCUGUAGCUGGUCUGAGAGGACGACCAGCCACACUGGGACUGAGACACGGCCCAGACUCCUACGGGAGGCAGCAGUGGGGAAUUUUGGACAAUGGGCGCAAGCCUGAUCCAGCAAUGCCGCGUGCGGGAAGAAGGCCUUCGGGUUGUAAACCGCUUUUGUACGGAACGAAAAGGCUCUGGCUAAUACCUGGGGCUGAUGACGGUACCGUAACAAUAAGCACCGGCUAACUACGUG
rnacentral:rRNA from 1 species